GAGUAAUGUCUGGGAAACUGCCUGAUGGAGGGGGAUAACUACUGGAAACGGUGGCUAAUACCGCAUAACGUCGCAAGACCAAAGAGGGGGACCUUCGGGCCUCUUGCCAUCAGAUGUGCCCAGAUGGGAUUAGCUUGUUGGUGAGGUAACGGCUCACCAAGGCGACGAUCCCUAGCUGGUCUGAGAGGAUGACCAGCCACACUGGAACUGAGACACGGUCCAGACUCCUACGGGAGGCAGCAGUGGGGAAUAUUGCACAAUGGGCGCAAGCCUGAUGCAGCCAUGCCGCGUGUAUGAAGAAGGCCUUCGGGUUGUAAAGUACUUUCAGCGGGGAGGAAGGUGUUGUGGUUAAUAACCGCAGCAAUUGACGUUACCCGCAGAAGAAGCACCGGCUAACUCCGUGCCAGCAGCCGCGGUAAUACGGAGGGUGCAAGCGUUAAUCGGAAUUACUGGGCGUAAAGCGCACGCAGGCGGUCUGUCAAGUCGGAUGUGAAAUCCCCGGGCUCAACCUGGGAACUGCAUUCGAAACUGGCAGGCUUGAGUCUUGUAG
rnacentral:rRNA from 1 species